CAUGGCACAUCCCACUCCAAAUACACCUGAUCUCGUCUUGUCUUGGAAGCUAAGCAGUAUCAGGUCUGGUUAGUACUUGCAAGGGAGACCUUUGCCAAGUCAUCUGAGAAGAUUGGAAGGCAGGU
rnacentral:rRNA from 1 species